rnacentral:rRNA from 1 species
GACGAACCGUGCGAACGUUGUUCGGAAUCACUGGGCUUAAAGGGCGCGUAGGCGGGCUGUCGCGUCUGGGGUGAAAUCCUCCGGCUCAACCGGGGAAGGGCCUCGGGUACGGACGGCCUCGAGGGGGGUAGGGGCGUGCGGAACUGUGGGUGGAGCGGUGAAAUGCGUUGAUAUCCACAGGAACUCCGGUGGCGAAGGCGGCACGCUGGACCCUCUCUGACGCUGAGGCGCGAAAGCCAGGGGAGCGAACGGGG